AAUUUUAAUUCUUGCUUCUCAUCCGCUCCCCUACGUUUCACCAAAUUCUCGUAAUUAGGGUUCCUAAUCUCCAUGGUAAUCCACUGGUAAGGUAAAAAUCCUCCACUCUUUCUUGAUUUCCGCACUUGAUUUAACUGUACUGUCAACUAAAAUCACUUUGAUUUCACCGAUUUCGAGUGCCCCUGAUCGGUGGAGAUUGGUGAAGGCUCAUAGGAAGGUCGAGCUUCCAACUGAUGAUGACAUGGGGAGCAGUGAAGUCGGGCAUAAUGCUCUUGGUGCCGGACGAAUUUUUGCUCAAGGUGCAAAACUUGUUGAUAAUGCUCUUGCCUCUGAAAAAAUUUACAAAGACGAAGGUUUCAGUUACAUCAAAGAAUCUUUCGCAAAUAACACCUUGUACCUUACUGGAUUGAUGAGUGGUGUGGACGUGCACUCACGCCUUGAUCAGUUACAGUUGGUGCUCAAAGGUGCUAGUGAACGCGAUGCCAAGAGGAUACGUGUUCAUGUACUUACUGAUGGCCGUGAUGUUGUGGAUGGUUCAAGUGUUGGAUUUGCAGAGACACUUGAAAAGGAUCUUGCAGAGCUACGUGGGAAAUUCAAAGGUGAUGACACCAGAAACUCUGCUUCAGUUGAUAUCAGAUGAUCAUAAAGUUGUGUCUGAAGGAAAAAAGCGAAUUAUUUGCAAGAAAUUCACACAUUAAUGUCUUCAUCUGCUGGUAUCUCUCAGAAAGUCAGAAUGUUAAAACAACACAUGGUCCACAAGUCGACAAGGCUUGGCAUGCUCUUUCCAGUCUCUAGUUGUCUUCUAGAAGUUAUAUAAGUCCCGGUAAAAACUGGCUAGUGGCAAAAGAUGGGGAUACAGCCUCUUUUCAAGAUUUUGAACCAACUGCUCAACAAUUCUCUUCUGACGCGAAUAAAAGUCAUACAGGAUCUACUCUGGCAGACCAAAAUUUGGAUGAUACUGAUAUUAAAUAUAGUAAUCAUGGGCUUGUGAUUGAACCAUUAGCAACAGUUCCCACUUCUGUUGCUAAAGCUAGAAGGGCUGAUACUAAGAAUGCCUGUGGAAGUGACAUUAAUGCUGUGUUGAAGCAAGAGGGUUCAUAUUUGGUCCUCCUAUUGCAUUGGCUCUUGGUGAGAAAUUUGUUCCGAUCAGAAAACCCAACAAGUUACCUGUAGAGCAUCUAAAAGUUGCCAGUUGAAGAAUAUAACUCUGCUUGUUUGACUUAUUCUCAAAGUGAUUGAAAAGUUGAACUUAGUUAUCAGGGAGCUCGUUAAGGAAAAAGAUGAAGAAAAAGAAAAGUUCAAUGGAAUUAUUGCGGGGUUGUUGGCUGACAAAGAAAAAGAUAAGGUGGAUAAAGAUGCGUUGCUUGAUAGGAUGUCACAAAUUGAAGCUAUGUUAACAGCUACAGUUCGAAGAUAUGCUAUAAACACUUGGUUUUGAAUGUUUAGAUGUUUAUCUUAUUAGGAUAAUUUUAGUUAGUUUAUAUUUUAGUUGGUAUUUUUUAUAUGCUUUUGAAAACAAGAUGUUUUAUAUAAUUUUGGGAUUUUAUUA